AGAGUUUGAUCCUGGCUCAGAACGAACGCUGGCGGCAUGCCUAACACAUGCAAGUCGAACGGUAACGCGGGGGCAACCCUGGCGACGAGUGGCGGACGGGUGAGUAAUACGUAGGAAUCUGCCCAUUUGUGGGGGAUAACCCGGCGAAAGCCGGGCUAAUACCGCAUACGCUCUACGGAGGAAAGCGGGGGAUCGUAAGACCUCGCGCUAAUGGAUGAGCCUACGUCGGAUUAGCUAGUUGGUGGGGUAACGGCCUACCAAGGCGACGAUCCGUAGCUGGUCUGAGAGGACGAUCAGCCACACUGGGACUGAGACACGGCCCAGACUCCUACGGGAGGCAGCAGUAAGGAAUAUUCCACAAUGGGCGAAAGCCUGAUGGAGCGACGCCGCGUGAGGGAUGAAGCUUUUCGGAGUGUAAACCUCUUUUCUUUGGGAUGACACUCCCCUUCGGGGGAUACGACAGUACCAGAGGAAUAAGCAUCGGCUAACUACGUGCCAGCAGCCGCGGUAAUACGUAGGAUGCAAGCGUUGUCCGGAUUUACUGGGCGUAAAGCGCGCGCAGGUGGCAUGGCAAGUAAGGUGUGAAAUCUCCCUGCUCAACGGGGAGGGAGCGCUUUAGACUGCCAAGCUAGAGGACGGUAGAGGGGGGUGGAAUUGCUGGUGUAGCGGUGAAAUGCGUAGAGAUCAGCAGGAACACCCGUGGCGAAGGCGGCCCCCUGGGCCGUACCUGACGCUGAGGCGCGAAGGCUAGGGGAGCGAACGGGAUUAGAUACCCCGGUAGUCC
rnacentral:rRNA from 1 species